rnacentral:rRNA from 1 species
GAUGAACGCUGGCGGCGUGCCUAAUACAUGCAAGUCGAGCGAACAGACGAGGAGCUUGCUCCUCUGACGUUAGCGGCGGACGGGUGAGUAACACGUGGAUAACCUACCUAUAAGACUGGGAUAACUUCGGGAAACCGGAGCUAAUACCGGAUAAUAUAUUGAACCGCAUGGUUCAAUAGUGAAAGACGGUUUUGCUGUCACUUAUAGAUGGAUCCGCGCUGCAUUAGCUAGUUGGUAAGGUAACGGCUUACCAAGGCAACGAUGCGUAGCCGACCUGAGAGGGUGAUCGGCCACACUGGGACUGAGACACGGUCCAGACUCCUACGGGAGGCAGCAGUAGGGAAUCGUGCGCGAUGGGCGAAAGCCUGACGGAGCAACGCCGCGUGAGGGAUGAAGGUCUUCGGAUCGUAAAACUCUGUUAUUAGGGAAGAACAAAUGUGUAAGUAACUAUGCACGUCUUGACGGUACCUAAUCAGAAAGCCACGGCUAACUACGUG